AUCAAGCAGUGCAUAAGUAGUGACAUAACAACUUCAUAUCCAUGCCCUAGCAACCAAUUUUAGCCCCCUAGCAACUGUUUAACUACAUUUAAAAGCUGUAUCUCAGCAAAAAUAACUAUAUAGAAACACUGGCUUGGGCUUUUUGCAUUCAGGCUGGUAAAUAAUCUUUAAAUAUCACCCCAUAAACUAUAUAGUCACACCAUAGCAACCAUAUAGAGCACCCUAGUAACCAUGUAGCAAUAUAAAUCCUUCUAUCUCUGCUUCAAAACAUCACACAGGCAUCAUGGGUGGCUACAGGGCGCAGAGUUUUGCCACUGCAAGCACCACUCACAUUUUCUUCAGGAAAUGUACCUUCUAGUUAGUGGUGCUUGCCGGAGGCAAAGCACUACUACUAUUAUCUCACAUACUUAUUAUUAUUCUGCUUCUUAUAGAUCCGUACAAAUUUCGGCGCGUAACUAGUCCCGCAGUUUUCGUCACAGACCAACGAAACAGGCGUCAAAUCGUGCGGCCUAUACGGGAAUGGUGUGCUAUGACUUUUAUAAGCGAUCGGGCGUACGAUGUUCGUCCGGCGGGCGAUAAUUCGGGCGAUAAAUCCCAUAGACAAUGCAUUGCGUCCAACUUUGACAGAUCGUAGCUCCGAGUGAGAAUUUCGCAGAAACAUGUGAAUCACCACAUUUGGAGAGGCUAUCAGGCUGUGCACGAUCAUACCCCGCAAUGGGGUAUAAGUUGUACCCCUGGGGCGCAAGAGCCCCCCAAAGUUGCCCCAUACUAAGCCAAUGGUGAGAUAUCGCCCAUGAAACAAUGUGUUUUUCCUACUGUGGGAAAUUACAUAGGGAUAUUGCAUUGAACAUAACUCUGGAUCACAUAGUCAUAGAGACAAGGGGGUGGGCUCAUUUGAAUCAGGCAACCAAUCAGACUCUCAGGAUCAUUAUGAAGCUAUCAAGCCACGCCCUAGCAACCAUAUAGAGCACCAUAGCAACAAGCCCCAUAGACUUCCAUUGAAAAAGAUCAAAUGAAUA